rnacentral:rRNA from 1 species
UACGUAGGGGGCAAGCGUUGUCCGGAUUUACUGGGCGUAAAGAGCGCGUAGGCGGAGAGUUAAGCGUGCCUUGAAAGCCCCCGGCUCAACCGGGGAAGGUGGGUGCGAACUGGCUUUCUUGAGGGCGAUAGAGGGGGGCGGAAUUCCUGGUGUAGCGGUGAAAUGCGUAGAGAUCCGGAGGAACGCCUGUGGCGCAAGCGGCCACCUGGGCCUUAUCUGACGCUGAGGGACGAAAGCGUGGGGAGCAAACCGG